CCGGGACGUGCCUGCACCAUGAGGAGUCGUACUGGCAGAGAAGCGGCGGUGGAGGAGGAAGAGAGGAGUGAAGUGAGGAGCUGUUGCUGCAGCAGAGACCAGGCGCACCGCAUGGGGAAACCCGGGAGCUGUCCAGCAGCAAUGGAGGGAACAAUGACAACUACAAAAUACAAGAUGGAAACGAGGUGACUUGUGUGCCCGGGUGGACCCCCCACCGCCCCUGCUGCUGCUGCUGCUGAUGGUGAUGAUGCUGAUGCUGUUGGAGCCCCCAGCUGUGCGCCAGAGAAAAAGGGGGGACCCACGUUUUGGAUGUUUUCACUGAGGAGUGCACAGACAGAAGGAGAGACACCGACCGAGCGCCCGGCCGAUCUUCCUCCUUCUCGUCCUCCUCCCUCUUCCUCAUCCCGACAAAGGGGCCCGAGGUGAGGAUUGACAGAGGGGAAAUCCUGACUGACUGAAACCCGGCUGAUGACGUCUCCUCUUCCUCCUCCUCAGUUUUUUACCUCCUCUUCCUUCAG